rnacentral:rRNA from 1 species
AUUGAACGCUGGCGGCAGGCCUAACACAUGCAAGUCGAACGAGUGGCGGACGGGUGAGUAAUGUCUGGGAAACUGCCUGAUGGAGGGGGAUAACUACUGGAAACGGUAGCUAAUACCGCAUACCAUCAGAUGUGCCCAGAUGGUAUUAGCUAGUUGGUGGGGUAACGGCUCACCAAGGCGACGAUCCCUAGCUGGUAUGAGAGGAUGACCAGGCACACGGUAACUGAGACACGGACAAGACGCAUACGGGAGGCAGCAGUGGGGAAUAUUGUACACGGGGCGCAAGCAUGAUGCAGCCAGGCCGCGUGGAUGAUGAAGGCCUUAGGGGUGUAAAGUACUUUCAGUAGGGAGGCGUUAUCGGCAGAAGAAGCACCGGCUAACUCCGUGCCAGAAGCCGCGGUAAUUC